UACCUGGUAGCACAUGGUGUGCAUCUGCCCAAGAUAAAAGUCCAUGUUCCAUCAAUUUGCAAGCAGAAGGCCCCCUGUUCGAUUCAGGGCUGGGUGC